AGUGAACGCUGGCGGUAGGCCUAACACAUGCAAGUCGAACGGCAGCACAGUAAGAGCUUGCUCUUACGGGUGGCGAGUGGCGGACGGGUGAGGAAUACAUCGGAAUCUACUCUUUCGUGGGGGAUAACGUAGGGAAACUUACGCUAAUACCGCAUACGACCUACGGGUGAAAGCAGGGGAUCUUCGGACCUUGCGCGAUUGAAUGAGCCGAUGUCGGAUUAGCUAGUUGGCGGGGUAAAGGCCCACCAAGGCGACGAUCCGUAGCUGGUCUGAGAGGAUGAUCAGCCACACUGGAGCUGAGACACGGUCCAGACUCCUACGGGAGGCAGCAGUGGGGAAUAUUGGACAAUGGGCGCAAGCCUGAUCCAGCCAUACCGCGUGGGUGAAGAAGGCCUUCGGGUUGUAAGGCCCUUUUGUUGGGAAAGAAAAGCAGCAGGUUAAUACCCCGCUGUUCUGACGGUACCCAAAGAAUAAGCACCGGCUAACUUCGU
rnacentral:rRNA from 1 species